GAUGAACGCUGGCGGCGUGCCUAAUACAUGCAAGUCGAGCGAACAGAUGAGGAGCUUGCUCCUCUGACGUUAGCGGCGGACGGGUGAGUAACACGGGGAUAACCUACCGAUAAUACUGGGAUAACUUCGGGAAACCGGAGCUAGGACCGGGUAAUAUAUUGAACAUCAUGGUUCAAUAGUAAAAGACGGUUUUGCUGUCACUUAUAGAUGGAUCCAUGCCGCAUUAGCGAGUUGGUAAGGGAACGGCUUACCAAGGCAACUGUGCGUAGCCGACCUGAGAGGGUGAUCGGCUACACUGGAACUGAGACACGGUCCAGACUCCUAAAGGAGGCAGCAGUAGGGAAUCCUACGCAAUGGGCGAAAGCCUGACGGAGCAAAGCGGCGUGAGUGAUGAAGGUCUUAGGCUCGUAAAACUAUGUUAUCAGGGAAGAACAAAUGUGUAAGUAACUAUGCACGUCUUGACGGUACCUAAUCAGAAAGCCACGGCUAACUACGUG
rnacentral:rRNA from 1 species